rnacentral:misc_RNA from 1 species
GAUGAAGAACGCAGCGAAAUGCGAUACUUGGUGUGAAUUGCAGAAUCCCGUGAACCAUCGAGUCUUUGAACGCAAGUUGCGCCCGAAGCCACUAGGCCGAGGGCACGCCUGCCUGGGCGUCACACGCCGUUGCCCCCCCAUCUACUCCUUCGGGAUUGCGGGGGGGCGGAUGAUGGCCUCCCGUGCGCCUAGCCGCGCGGUUGGCAUAAAUACCAAGUCCUCGGCGACGCACGCCCCGACAAUCGGUGGUUGCGAAACCUCGGUUGCCCGUCGUGUGCGUUCGUCGCGCAUCGAGGGCUCGAAAAAAUGCUCGGCUCCGGCUGGGCUUUCAACGCGACCCCAGGUCAGGCGGGGUUACCCGCUGAAUUUAAGCAUAUCAAUAAGCGGAGGA